GCCAGGAUACCGAAGCGGUCAAACGGAGCAGUCUGUAAAACUGUUGGCGCAAGCCUUCGCAGGUUCGAAUCCUGCUCCUGGCACCA
rnacentral:tRNA from 1 species